rnacentral:rRNA from 1 species
UACAGAGGUCCCAAGCGUUGUUCGGAUUCACUGGGCGUAAAGGGUGCGUAGGCGGGGUGCCAAGUCCGCUGUGAAAGCCUGGAGCUUAACUCCAGCGGGUCGGUGGAUACUGGCACUCUUGAAGGCGUUUAGGGGAAGAUGGAAUUACCCGUGGAGCGGUGAAAUGCGUAGAGAUGGGUAGGAACACCGGUGGCGAAGGCGGUCUUCUGGGACGUCCUUGACGCUGAGGCGCGAAAAGCGUGGGUAGCAAACAGG